UAACCUUAGGGACGACAUCAAAAGAUCGAUGUAGGAUAAAAAAACUUAAAUCAAAUAGUUUGGGGGUGGGGGGUCAACAUUGCUGCAAGUUUUGUUAAUCUAAAAUCGAUUUUAUAUAUAUCCCUAUUGGUCAAUCAAUUUUACCCAAAUUAAGUUAAGAGGGGGGGUGUGGGGGUCAGUGAAAAAACUAUGUGAAUUAAGUUUUUUUAUCCUUCAUUGAACUUUUGAUGUCGUCCCUUA
rnacentral:lncRNA from 1 species